GGGUGUGAUCAUACCAGCGUUAAUGCACCUGAUCCCAUCAGAACUCCGCAAUUAAGCGCGCUUGGGCUAGAGUAGUGUUGGGAUGGGUGACCUGCCGGGAAGUCCUAGUGUUGCACCCU
rnacentral:rRNA from 1 species